rnacentral:rRNA from 1 species
UACGGGAGGCAGCAGUGGGGAAUAUUGCACAAUGGGCGCAAGCCUGAUGCAGCCAUGCCGCGUGUAUGAAGAAGGCCUUCGGGUUGUAAAGUACUUUCAGUCGUGAAGGAAGGUGUUAAGGUUAAUAACCUUAGCAAUUAGACGUUAGCGACAGAAGAAGCACCGGCUAACUCCGUGCCAGCAGCCGCGGUAAUACGGAGGGUGCGAGCGUUAAUCGGAAUUACUGGGCGUAAAGGGCACGCAGGCGGUUAAUUAAGUUGGAUGUGAAAUCCCCGGGCUUAACCUGGGAAUGGCAUUCAAGACUGGUUAGCUAGAGUCUUGUAGAGGGGGUAGAAUUCCAUGUGUAGCGGUGAAAUGCGUAGAGAUGUGGAGGAAUACCGGUGGCGAAGGCGGCCCCUGGGACAAAGGACUGACGCUCAUGUGCGAAAGCGUGGGGAGCAAAC